rfam:Picoides pubescens contig73659, whole genome shotgun sequence.
CGGGUUCCUGCGUCAACAGUGUUUGGACGGAACCGG